UGGAUUUGUGCUCAGAAGAGCAGGACGGUGGCCAUGGAAGUCGGAAUCCGCUAAGGAGUGUGUAACAACUCACCUGCCGAAUCAACUAGCCCUGAAAAUGGAUGGCGCUGGA
rnacentral:ncRNA from 1 species